UGAAACAUCAAUAAACGCAGUACUAAUAACAAAUAACGACAAAACACAAAACCCGGUCUUUUAUUUUUCAAAGACUAUACAAAGAGAAGAAUGCAGAUACCCCCUCUUAGAGAAACUAGAUUUAACAGCCGUCAGUAGGGCCAGAAGACUUAGAGCCUAUUUUCAAGCCCAUUCAAUCAUCAUCCCAACAAAUUAUCCUCUCCUACAAACAUUACAUAAACCCGACUUAUGCGGAAGGUUAGCUAAAUGGGCUAUCGAGUUAAGCAGAUACGAUGUCAAAUUCGUU
rnacentral:lncRNA from 1 species